UAUCGUUAAUCACGUCGGGGUCACCAA
rnacentral:piRNA from 1 species